rnacentral:lncRNA from 1 species
UAGGAUUGUAUUUCCUAGGCUUGAUUUGGAUGAAGCCAUGCUGUUUUCCCAGCAUUAUCUGACUUGAGCUCUAAGUAGCUGAUACUAGUGACCAUGGCCUUCUUGAAAGUGUCUUCUAGCUGGGUGAGUGGCUCAUGCCUGCAAUCCCAACACUUGGGGAGGUUGAGGUGGGUGGAUUGCUUGAGCUCAGGAGUUCAAGACCAGCUUGGGCAACAUGGCAAAACCCCAUCUCUACUAAAAAACAAACUGAAAAAAAUUAGCCAGACAUGGUGGCAUGUGCCUAUAAUCCCAGCUACUCAGAAGGCUGAGGUGGGAGGAUCACCUGAGCCUGGGAGGCCGAGGCUGCAGUGAGCCGUGAUUGUGCCACUGCACUCCAGCCUGGGUGACAGAGUGAGGCCCUGUCAAUAAAAAAAAAAAAAAAAAAAAAAAAGAUCUAGGAAGUGAGGAGCCUCUCUGCCCGGCCGCCCAUCGUCUGAGAUGUGGGGAGCGCCUCUGCCCCGCCGCCCCCUCUGGGACGUGAGGAGCGCCUCUGCCCGGCCGAGACCCUGUCUGGGAGGUGAGGAGCGUCUCUGCCCGGCCACCCCAUCUGAGAAGUGAGGAGACCCUCUGCCUGGCAACCACCCCGUCUGAGAAGUGAGG